GUGAACGCUGGCGGCAGGCCUCACACAUGCAAGUCGCACGGCAGCACAAGAGAGCUUGCUCUCUGGGUGGCGAGUGGCGGACGGGUGAGGAAUGCAUCGGAAUCUGCCCAUUUGUGGGGGAUAACCUCGGGAAACCGGGACUAAUACCGCAUACGACCUACGGGUGAAAGCAGGGGAUCUUCGGACCUUGCGCAGAUGGAUGAGCCGAUGCCGGAUUAGCUAGUUGGAGGGGUAAAGGCCCACCAAGGCGACGAUCCGUAGCUGGUCUGAGAGGAUGAUCAGCCACACUGGGACUGAGACACGGCCCAGACUCCUACGGGAGGCAGCAGUGGGGAAUAUUGGACAAUGGGCGCAAGCCUGAUCCAGCCAUGCCGCGUGUGUGAAGAAGGCCUUCGGGUUGUAAAGCACUUUUGUUGGGAAAGAAAAGCAGCCGGUUAAUACCCGGUUGUCAUGACGGUACCCAAAGAAUAAGCACCGGCUAACUUCGUG
rnacentral:rRNA from 1 species